CCUCUUUAUCUCAGAGAGAGUUACCCUGGCUGACCCAGAUGCUGUGUGCUUUCUUCUUGCAAAUCGUGUCUGAACCUGAAUGCCAGAUGAUUAGGCUACUCACUUGCCAAAUAGACUAUAAAACAGGAAGUUGAGAAUUAUUACAGCACCACAAAGAAAGGCAAGAGUUCACCUGGUGGCAGGGUAUCAUUUUUGUUCACCUGUAUGAAAAAUGUAUUUACUAUAAUACAGAGAGUGAUAAAAAGUUAUUGUUCUCCCUGGACUUACAUUCUAGACAGUUACAAGUCCUCAUCCGUCCAAAAUUCUAGAGGAAAGAAAUCUUUUCUCUAGAUUCUCAGUGGUCAUUUUGGUUGUUGUAGCUUCUAUGCUGUUUCUUAUUUGCUUUGAGGGGAUGCCCAGGGAACUGAGUGUGAGUGAGGAAAGCAGGGCUUGGUGACAUCAGGCACACCAUUCUAAAGGCAACAUUUUACAGAUUAAGUUAUUUUGUAACCAGUGUGAUAUCUGGUCACCUUAUAGAUGGUCAAAUUUGAAAUGAUUGUUCCAAAUCCUCUGUGAGAGCCUGAAAAAUAGACCUAAAGAAGCAACUUUCUAGAUGCUCAAUAUCUGUGCUUGAAAAGAGUGUCUAGUCUCCCCUUAUUGGGUGCAGUAUUUUGUAUAUAUGUCUAUUAGAUCUGUGCUGUUCAAUUUCAUAUGUCUCAGUUGUUGUAUUGCUUGAUAGAUCAUUUAUGAAAUGAGAUACAUCAGAAAUUUGUGACUGUGAUAGAGGAGUUGUCAGUUUCUCCUUGUGGUUAAGUACUUUUUGCUUUAUAUAUUUUGAUGCUGUAUUGUUAAGUGCAUACAAAUUGGGGAUUAUCUUUUCUUCCAGGUGAAUUGAAAUCUUCAUUGUAUUUUGUGAUCCUCUAUUAUUUCCAGUUGUGCUCAUUGCCUUAAAGUCUCACUGUCUGGUAUUAAUAGAGGUACAACCUAUUUCUUUUGUUAGUAUUUAUCUGGUAUUUGUUUUUUCUCCUUUUACUCUUUAGUUCUCUGUCCUUAUACUUCAGAAACAUUUCUCAUAAACAACAUUUGCUGGUUUCUUUAAAAGCACAUCUGAUGAUCACUUUUUUAAACUGGAGAGACUGCUCCAUAUCUUUGUUAAGAUUACGGAGACAUUUUAAGUUUUUAAUUAUUUUAUAGUAUACUUUAUAUCUGUCCCAAUUUUUCUGCUUCCUUUUUUUCUCCCUCCUUUGGGAUUUUUUUCCAUUUCAUUACAUUCUUCCCUCUAAUUUGAAUUUAUAAUAUCCAUGCUUCUGGGUUUAAUGAUUACCCUAGUAUUUUAACAUGAAUACUUAACCGUUCAAUAUUAAUAAUACUUUUCUUCUUUCCCCCAAAGACAAAAGCCUUUAAAAGGAAAGCAAAAACCAAAGUGUGCCUUUUGGAUUUGGAGGGAAUGUGAGAUCCCAGCCCUUGUUCUCGCUCAGGGGGCUGUCAGGGGCUGUGGAACUCUGUGUCCAUGAAGAGACCUCACACUUUGAUUUUUGUCCCUUAUCUCCUGCCGUGUCUUUUGGACCUGUUUUUUCGUUUGUUAGAUUUGGUCACUUAAAAAUAUAAAACUCGAGGAGUUCCCGUUGUGGCUUAGUGGUUAACAAACCCGACUAGCAUCCAUGAGGACACAGGUUCAAUCCCUGGCCUUGUUCAGUGAGUUAAGGAUCUGGCGUUGCUGUGAGCUGUGUUGUAGGUUGCAGACGUGGCUUGGAUCUGGCAUUGCUGUGGCUGUGGCAUAGGCUGGUGGCUACAGCUCCAAUUCGACCCCUAGUCUGGGAAAUGUCAUAUGCCUCAGGUUUAUGUUCUCUCAUCAUAUGGAAGUUAACCUCUCCCUGUCAUCCAGCUUCCACUGCCGUGCUUGUAAAGUCUGGCAGCAGCCCAGCUGCUGUUCCUUUUUUAGGUGAUCAACAUUUUCCCUGUCUGGCUGCCUGUAAGGUCCUCUCUUUGUCUUUGCUAGUCUGCAAUUUCAUAGUGAUUGUCUUUAGAAGUAGACACAUUCUUAUUUACUCCACUUGGGAUUAUUGGGCAUCCUGAAUCCAAAGAUUCACAUUUUUCACAAAUGUUGGAAAUUUUUCUUUUGUGUAUUUCCUGUUCCUCCUGCUGUCCAGGCUCUCUUACUAGAGCCAUUUAGGUCUCUGUCUGCUGGACCUGACUUUCCUCUGUAUCUGUUAGCUCCCUUUUAUAUUUUCCAUCUUUUUGUUUCUCUAGUCUUUAAUCUGGCUAAUUUCUCCAAAUCUCUCUUUACUCAUUCUUGUUCCACCUGUGUCUCAAUUUGAACCAGUAGACUGUUUUUUUUUUUAUUAUUAUUAUAUUCUUAUUCUUUUUUCCUUUGUCAAAAUUUCAAAAUUGGGAACUCCCAUUGUGGCUCCACAGUAAGGACCCCAACUAGCAUCCAUGAGGAUUUGGGUUCCAUCCCUAGCCCCGCUCAGUGGGUUAAGGAUCUGGCAUUGCCAUGAGCUGUGGUGUAGGUCUCAGAUGUGGCUCUGAUCCAGUGUUGCUGUGGCUGUGGCCUAAGCUGAUAGCUGCAGCUCCAGUUCGACCCCUAGCCUGGGAACUUUCAUAUGCUGCACGUGUGGCCCUAAAAAGAAAAAAAAAAUUCAAAAUUUCUCAAGUCCUUCUUUUUAAAUAAUUACUUGGAUGAUCCUUCUAAUACCUGGAAUCACCGUGACUCAGACUUUGCUCUUGAUUGCUUCUGCAAGUCCCCUUUCUCCUUGCACAUUUCAUGGAUUUUGAGUGGGUUCAUAUUCCUUGGAACUUGACCUGUCAGAACUUUUUUGAAGCUCGGGUUAAGGUUACUUUCCUCUAAAGAGGAUUUGUGUUUGUUCUGCUCUGCACCUGAGUCCUCUCGAGCUGGAACCACUUUAAAUUCUCUCUUACAGAUUUUAAACCACACAGAUGACAUUUGGGCGUAAGACCCAUGUGAAGACCAUCUUGUGAUGAGGACAGUUUGGGAGUAAUUAUUUUUCUCCCUUGGAUCAAAAAAGGCAAAUCUCUUCCAGUUCCUUCUGUGUGAUUCUUCUCCACUCUGUGUCAUGCCCAUCCACACUAAACAGAGCCCUCCUCUGGGACUGAGCUUUAUGCAAGGGUCUCCUGUUGGAUUCCCAGCAUGGCCAGGGUUGUCUCUUUCCUUCUGCCUCAUCCUACACAGCAUCCUUGCCAAGGUCGAGGUCACGGGGUUCACCUCCUGGGAGACCCUCACUUCAGCCCUGUUUACUCCCAGGACCCCUGCCUCCAUCUGUGCUUGGGCUGCGGCAGACUCCUGUUUUCCUAUCAGCUCAGCCAAUGAAUAGCUAGUUUCUGUGCUCUUAUCCUUCAUUCUUCGUUGACUCCAACAGAGGGUUGGCCCAGGGGUCUGGGAGUAGAACCAUAUACAAUUAAUCGAUGUUCCGUAUGGUGAAGGGCAAGGGUCUCCUGUGGAUGCCACCUCCUCUGUCCAGUUGCUCCACCCAGGGAUGGCAUGGAAAGGCCACAUCCUCCCACAUCCUUUGUCAUUCAACAUCCCCUGCAACCAGCACAUAGUGUGAGGGGCUAUGUGGAUACCAGCAGGUGUAGUUCUGGCAAAGGCUGGUGCUGCUGUCCCUCCAGGUGACAACUCCUGUGAAGGCCAGUGCUGCCCUUUUUGCCUCCAAGUGGAGCUGCCUGACCCUUAGAGGCACCCUGGACUUUGGAGGAGUCAAGUCCCAUAUCAUUCAGGCCAGUGAUCAAUGACUCUUGGCUCUUUGUCACCUGGCAGCCUGCUCCCAGGCAAGGCUAGUCUCCUGCCACACAGGCUCCUGGCAUCCUGUUUCCUCCCUUCAGCCCUAGGCUCUGAGGCAGGGACAGCCUAUAGCCUGCAGCUGCAUCUCACCCAUAGCCCGUCUUUGUAAAUAAAGUUUUAUUGGGAUACACAGCCAUGCCCAUUGUUUCACACCAUGAGGUCCCACCUACAGCAUUGAAAAUAUUUACUGUCUGUCCUUUUAGAGGAAGCAUUUGCUGGGCCUACUCUGAGGACACCCCCUCCCCCAGGCUGCCCACCUGUCUUUCAGCCCUGCCUAGAGCAUCCUGUAUCCAGAUGCUCCCUCCGUGUUGUUACCUGCACUCACAUCCGCGCCAGCUCCAGCUUCCCUGACGGCGCCUCCUUUGCUCAGCCUGAUCUGCAUCUGCCCUCUGGAAUGCUGGAAAUGCAUAUCCAGUGAGUGACCCACCCUGGGAAACCCUCACAUGGUGAAGUUAGACUCUGACAGUCUUCCUGCUCCAUUGGAACAUUUCAUCACCCAGGAGUAGGUCUUCAAUCUCAGACCUUUGGGGGAAGACAGGUAUUUUCGCUCCAUCUCUCUACAUAGUCAUAGCAAAUACACACUUCAAGCAGUGGACACAGUCUUGGAAAUAAGACAACAGACAUGCAAGGUGCUAUUUUAAUAAACUAAAUAGCACUACAUGGCAUGAGAGGAACUCUUCUAAAGAAAGCAAAAUGUUCAACAGUGGAGAAUUAAUUUAUACUGAAAACAAUCCCCCCCAAGCAUGUCUGUUUUGGCUCAUCUAUAGCUGAAAGGACACAGGCCAUUGAUAGUCUCAUGGCCAGGGGUGUGGACUGGGGAGCCAGACUGCUUGGUGGCAAUGCCUGCUCUGCCAGUGAUUGGUAACUGUGGGCAAGUCACCUGGUAUCUCUGUGCCUCGGUUUCCUCAACUGGUAAAGGGUUCAGAGGGUUACAAACAUGAUGAAAUGAGAUCAAACAUUAAAAAUCCCUAGAACACUGCCUGGAGCCUAGAGGCCUUCCCAUGUUAGCCAUGACCAUGCCAUUUAAUGUUUCUGACCUUGUGUUUCCUCAUCUAUAAGAGGGAAGUCACAAUAACAAACUUUUAUUUUGUUUGAGGAAUAACCAUGAUGGGUUUAAAGCACCCAAACAGGGCACACUAUAGAAGUCAAAUAAUUGGUGGAGAGAUGCCAUUUUCUGGGACUUCGUUAAUAUUGGUCCCAUAUCUUCUUUUCCCCACUAAAGCUAACUAUAGAUUCCUUCUUCAAAAGAAAUGGUUUCUAGAAACAUCCUCAGUGUGGUGGGGCUUCAGCAGCUGCUUUUGGCUUGUUCUAUUGCUAAUCAUUGCAUGAAAAGCCCAGAGAGCUGUGUGUUCUCUUGUCUAGUGACUCUGCUUGUCCAAGACUCAGCCACCACCUCCAGGAAGCCACCCCUGAUGCCUAAACCCCACCAUCUUGGUGCUUCUGUUACAUCACGUGAUGACUUUGCAGAGACAGGGACAGAGUUAUUCAUCUGUAUAUCUGUUGUGACUGGCAGACCGUGUUCCAACAAGUACUAAAGACCUACCACUUAGGUGCACAAAAGAAACUGACAAAUAAAUGGAUGCCAAUUAAAAUUUCUUUGAGAAUACACAAUGACUCUACCUAUCUUAAGAAUUAUGGGAGUUCCCUGGUGGCUAAGUGGGUGAAGGAUCCAUUGUUGUCACUGCUGUGGCACAGGUUCGAUCCCUGGCCUGGGAACUUCUACAUGCUG
rnacentral:lncRNA from 1 species